rnacentral:misc_RNA from 1 species
GAUGAAGAACGCAGCGAAAUGCGAUAAGUAAUGUGAAUUGCAGAAUUCAGUGAAUCAUCGAAUCUUUGAACGCACAUUGCGCCCGCCAGUAUUCUGGCGGGCAUGCCUGUUCGAGCGUCAUUUCAACCAUCAAGCCCCAGGCUUGUGUUGGAGCCCUGCGGCUGCCGCAGCCUCCCAAAACCAGUGGCGGGCUCGCUAUCACACCGAGUGCAGUAGUUUACUCUUCGCUCAGGGCGUGUGGCGGGUGCUAGCCGUAAAACCCCCAACUUCUCAAGGUUGACGUCGGAUCAGGUAGGAAUACCCGCUGAACUUAAGCAUAUCAAUAAGCGGAGGA